GUGAUCAUGGAAUUCGGUAAUUAUUCGUUUUCGUGACACGUAUUCAGGACUUUUUUUGGUAGAAUUGUUUACACCUGAUCUCCAUGAUAUUCCACCCUGGACACUAAUCCAGACACAUUAACCUUCCCAGAAACCAGUGUCAUGCAAACUCGUUCGAGUCCAAAUGCUUUCCGAGUUUCAAAGUUUUGCGAUCGUCUAAAUAUUUCAAAUUAAUGGUAACGAUAAACUUUGUCGGAUAGAAAAACUUUCAGUAUAGUAAUAGUCUGUAUCACCUGGCAAUCUGACUUCCUUGAAUAGCACAAACCGUCGUCUUUUUAUAUCCUUGCAUUAUGGAAACUGUACAAAAGUAAGGACAAUUAGUAGUGGUCGAAAAAUGCAAGUGUUACUCCGGAGCUCCUAUUGAACCACUAAUAAUCUAAUCGUUGCACAAUUAUUUCGUGAUUACUUUGUGUGGAAAUGAACCACAACGGCAGCCGAUACACGUCGUUCGCCUUUGCUAGUGGAGGGAUCGCUGGCAGCGGCGGUGCCCGAGGGGAACUGAGCAGUGGUAAUUUGAGCAGAAAGCUGAGUAGUCCGAUGGCAGAGUCGACACAGCUGGACAGCAGCGGUAUCCGGGGGAAUCUUUACGACAGUCCGGUACAUGUUGGAGUUGGGAAAAGAAGCCUACCUCUCCGUUGCAAAAUAGCAGGACAAAUUUUAGAAGCAGCUGAACGGCGUCCGGGUCCAGUAUGGAUCGAUUGAUUGAUCCUAAGAUUUACACGGAUGUUCAGAGCCGAGGAUUGGUUAACCGGUUGGUAAAGAACCACGAUAAAACGCAAUCGCCGUUAAAUAGGAGUCAAUCGAUGACUAGCCUGUACUCGAAGCCGGGUCAAUUUCCUGUGUGGUGGAGGAGAAAUAAUUCUUCGAUAGCUACCAUUGGUUCGGAUUUCCCCGUCAGAGAAGUCCGUGUUUCAGGCUGACACAAGGUGGAACAUUUUACGGGAGGGAUCGUUGCUCAUUCCGGCGGAACCUCAUCUGAAGAUGGUCCGAACACAUAGACACGAGGAUAAGAUUGAUGCGGAAAAUAGUGUGAUUGCGUCUUCAACAGAACUGGAUGCCGAUUGGAUCAAGAAACAAUGUAAGGAACUAUCGGAGGUUGAUUCAGGCGAAGCUGGUACGAAGCAAGCUCGGGAAAUUACAUACACGGCUUCGCACCCGUGUCGAGGGUCGACGAAUCAGCAGCUACAGACGAAGAAAUGUAGUAAAAAUAAUAAGUUCACUUAGCUCGAGCCUGGUGAUGAACACUCCGAAAGUGGAACACGUAGCGCACCGGCCGGCACGAUUAAAUGUGGAUGUCUCUCGACGCCGGCAACAUUGGAUGCGACGGUUCCAGUUAGCAUGAUUGAAUCGAGCAAACCGGCAAAAUUAAGUAGGAUUGAUUCCGCUCCUUUGCCACAUAUUACGAGAAUUGUUCCGGAGUUUCAACUGCUUCUGAUGGAAU